UACAGAGGUCUCAAGCGUUGUUCGGAUUCAUUGGGUUUAAAGGGUGCGUAGGCGGGGCGAUAAGUCAGUGGUGAAAUCCUGCAGCUCAACUGUAGAAUUGCCAUUGAUACUGUCGUUCUUGAGUACGCUCGACGUAGGCGGAAUGUGCCGUGUAGCGGUGAAAUGCUUAGAUAUGGCACAGAACACCAAUAGUGAAGACAGCUUACGAGGGCGAAACUGACGCUGAGGCACGAAAAGCGUGGGGAUCGAACAGGAUUAGAAAACCCCCAGU
rnacentral:rRNA from 1 species